rnacentral:rRNA from 1 species
CUACGUAGGGUGCGAGCGUUGUCCGGAAUUACUGGGCGUAAAGAGCUCGUAGGUGGUUUGUCGCGUCGUCUGUGAAAUUCCGGGGCUUAACUCCGGGCGUGCAGGCGAUACGGGCAUAACUUGAGUACUGUAGGGGAGACUGGAAUUCCUGGAGUAGCGGGGAAAUGCGCAGAUAUCAGGAGGAACACCGGUGGCGAAGGCGGGUCUCUGGGCAGUAACUGACGCUGAGGAGCGAAAGCAUGGGUAGCGAACAGGAUUAGAUACCCUGGUAGUCCAUGCCGUAAACGGUGGGCGCUAGGUGUAGGGGUCUUCCACGACUUCUGUGCCGUAGCUAACGCAUUAAGCGCCCCGCCUGGGGAGUACGGCCGCAAGGCUAAAACUCAAAGGAAUUGACGGGG